AUCAGUUGAUGAGUCCCAAAUAAGAUGAAAUACGUGUCCUAGAU
rnacentral:hammerhead_ribozyme from 1 species